rnacentral:rRNA from 1 species
UACGUAGGGGGGCUAGCGUUGUCCGGAAUCAUUGGGCGUAAAGCGCGUGUAGGCGGUCCGGUAAGUCCGCUGUGAAAGUCGGGGGGCUCAACCCUCGGAUGCCGGUGGAUACUGUCGGGCUAGAGUGCGGAAGAGGCGAGUGGAAUUCCUGGUGUAGCGGUGAAAUGCGCAGAUAUCAGGAGGAACACCAAUUGCGAAGGCAGCUCGCUGGGACGUCACUGACGCUGGAGACGCGAAAGCGUGGGGAGCAAACAGG